rnacentral:tRNA from 1 species
GGGGAUUUAGCUCAGUAGUUCUGCCUCCUGCCUCACAAGCACAAGGACCUGAGUUCGAUCCCCAGAAUCCCCC